rnacentral:piRNA from 1 species
AACAGUAGCACUCCAGAAGAGUG